AAAGUCGUAACAAGGUCUCCGUUGGUGAACCAGCGGAGGGAUCAUUACAGAGUUAUCCAACUCACCAAAACCCUGUGAACUUACCUACGUUGCCUCGGCGGGGGAAGCCUAUUCGGUAGCUAGCUACUACUCCGUAGGCCUAUCCCGCCGGCGGCCCAUUUAAACUCUGUUUUUAUUUUGGCACUUCUGAAUUAUAAAUAAAUUCGUUAAAACUUUCAACAACGGAUCUCUUGGUUCUG
rnacentral:misc_RNA from 1 species